rnacentral:lncRNA from 10 species
AAAAAUCUUCUGGCAAGGCUGGGAGCCCCUGGAGAACCAGACCAUGAAGAAGGAAGCCCCUCCAUCUUCUAAAGAAGGUUGAGAGGUCCCCAGUUUACAGUGAUACAAUGUGGGAACUGAGGUCCAGAAAGAGAUGUGUCAAAAAAUAAUAGAAAAGAAGGCACCAGACUAGGUCUCUGGUCCCAAACUCAGGACUAUUCAGAUGCUGCUCUAUCCAGUCCUUGGCCCUGGCCUACAAGACCCUCACUGACCAGUCAAGGCCCAUGCAUUGCACACUUCCUCAGGCACAGGGCUGUGUGUGUCUCUGCGUCCCCGAUGGCUGCCCAGCACAGGGGUGACACCCUGAGCUCCACACAUGCUUACUGAAUGGAUGGAUGGAUGGAUCUGACUUGGGAAAAUGUCUCUUCCCUCAGCAGCUUCCUUCACGUGCGUGUCCAGGGACAUGGCUUCUUCUCUGGGACCAUGUCCAGGAACCAACCAGCUCGAGGGCUAGGAGGGCUGGAGGUCACCUAGGACUGGUGGGGAAGGGUGGUUAGCAGGGAGGAAGCAGGGGCGGAAAACCUCCAGGGUGUUAAGCUUGUUUUCCCACUUAGACUAGAGGCUCCUUGAGGACAGGGGCCAGGUCUUCUCCCGCCACGGUCCUCAGACACAGGUCUCCGACCUGAGAUGCUUCACAGACAUCUGGGUUUGGAAGUGGACCAAGUCCAGACCUCCAGAACACCAGCUGCCAGGAGCCUCUGGACUGAGUCCAUGGGUUGUCGUAGGUGACAGCCUUCGAGCUGCCUCUGAUGGACAUGGACUCGAACCUGGCUUCUGCUGCUUUGUAGGUCUCUGACUCGGGACAAUCACGUGGCCUUUCUGAGCUUCAGUCUCCAUCUCUCUGUCUGUCAGAUGAGGCUGACAGGCCGCCCUGCAGGGCUGUAUGGGUUGGAGGGGACGGUGCACCAUGUCUAGCACAGCCCCUGGUGGGACCGAGUGUCCUGUGGCAGCAGAGCGGGGUGCCUGCAGGCCAUGGCCUCCCCUGGGCUUGCUGCCUCCAGUCUGGAUGCUGCUGGGGCCUGGACCUGAGUGAGGCAAGGAGAUGGGGCAAGGCCAGGGACCCCAGCACCCCAAACUCCUGCCUUUACUGUGAGGAGAACCCUUCACUGAGGGAACUAAGGCUUUCCCAAGAACCCUGCCUUGUAGGACCUUAGCCGUUCCAGAGCCCCUGACGCUGGGGGGCACUGUUGGCAUGAGGGGCAUCCCCAGAGGUCCUGCCCUUGGAAAGCAAGAGAUGAGAAAAGCGGACCUCCCCCAACCCCAAUCAGACACAUGUCCCAUGAAGGGUGAAGGAUGAGAGCACAUCUGAGUGGCACUAGAGUGGGGACCACACUGGGAUGCUUUGGAAUAUGUCAUGAUGCAGUGGAAACAUGGUCAAUAUCCAGAAACUUGGGUUCAAGUCAUUUCUGCAUCGAUUCAGCUCUGUGGCCUUGAACAAGUAACUUAAAACCCCUCUAGACUCAGUUCUCCAGUCUGUAAAAUGACAGGCUGGACGAGAGCACUGGUUUUCAAAGGUGGGGUGUGUGCAGCGGCAGAAUGCUUUGAAACUCACCAGGAGCAGAAGCUAUAUACCACCGAAUGCUAGGAGGGCGCAGGACCUCAGUGUGGCAUCCCCUUGGGCUCUCACAAGGGCUGCCCCUGGGAACUCAGUUUGCAAACCUCCGGAGUAGAAGCCCUUUAAGGUCCUGGUCAGCUCCAAACAUCCCCAAAUUCCUGAAUCUUCCACCAGGGAUGGUACAAGCAGUGGUGCCUGAAGCACCAGCCUUCACAGUGCCUUGUGUUCUUUCCUUAGCUCUGGGUAUCAAGUAGUGCUCUUUGGGUGCGAAUAACGGAAAUGGACUUGGCGACUUAAGGCAGAGGGAGGACUCAGAGAAGGAAUCCUGGGCAUCUACAGAAUAGAAGCAGAGCAGAACCUCUGGAUCUACGUAGCUUUGGAGACCUCAGAAGAUGGAGUUGGUGGGACGUCUCUCUGGAGUGUCCAGUUCUGGUAUACCUGGACUCCAAAUAGCCACCAAUCACUGUGGCUCUCAUUUCAGUUUCAAAUCUGCACAAGAGAGACUGUGAUUGGUCCAGCUUAGGUCACGUGUCCACUCCUGGCCCAGCCAGGUUUAGCAGGGCUGCAGGAUGCCACUUGCUUAUCUUGGGAGGAGUCCAGAGAAAGGGAAGGCCUGUUUCAUGGCAGCAUAUUGAUGUCUAAUACGUCUUGCAUCCCCAGUUUUAUUGUCCAUUCCUGGAAAAUGCAAGCUGUGACUGACGUUUUUACAUCUUAAAUCCCUCUCCCAGAGCAAAGCAAAUUGCUUCAACCCCAAAAUACAGGCACAGGAACCCUAGAGAUGUGGUAAGGGGAUGUGAGAGCUUUUCUUUCUCUGUUUCCAUAACUGCGAAAACCUACAACUUAAGGUAUUAUACUGUCAGAGCAAUGUAAUCUAUUUUAUAGACAGACCAGUCAAAACAUACAUCUUACUGGUCCUGGGAGUCAGUGUAAAAAAUCCGUGUGUGGCUUUUGAAUGAGGGGGAAGUGGUGUGUGUGUAUGUGUGUGAUGUCUUCAAAACCCGUAAACACAUCUAGACAGGGAUGGGCACCGAUAAAGGAAAUCACACUUAUUAUUUGAAUGUAUGCCACUUGGAAAUGUUCUUCAUUAUUAAUAAUAAUUAAUAAAUAAAUGGUUCAGAGAGUUCUAAUUUUCUCUUGCUAUCAGAAAUUAGCAUAUUUUUUCAGUUUUCCUAAAUUGCUACCUUUUUGAUAAUGUGUAUAUAAUUACUGAUUCCACCCAAACUCACUCUUUGUUCGGCUGACUGACUUUGCCUGCAUGCUGUCAGAUGCUGGUGAGGUUUUUUAAAGAACUGUUAUGAUUGAUGUAAUUAAACCAAGAUAAGACGUACAUUUUGCUUUUUCUCCCCUUUUCUUUUCUUCUUCCCCUCCCCAUCACAGCAGAGUUGAGGGAGAGGGAGAGAGACAGAGAGAAAGAGAGAGAGAGAGAAUGAGAAUUAGUUGUCUCUGAUUUGUUGGAGGUGCUUUACCAGAAUGCACAGUAUCUGCAUUUUGCUCAAAGAACUUGAUAAAACACCCACAGCAAACUUCAGGCUGUAUUGUUCUCGUCAAUUACUGGUGCGGCCUCGGGUUUCUCCUUGUUAAUUGCUGCGAGCAGGGAAGCUUUACUCAGUGCGCAGUGUACCCAAGCAUGUAUGGAGUUUAAUGAAUCAUACUAACUCUGCACUCCAAGCAAUUAGGUAAAUCUAGCUGUUAGUUAGUGAG